UGGAUAAUCUCAUCUCAACUUGACAAACCGGGUCAGAAAUCACAAUAUUCUAAACCCAAAGUAUUCUCACAGGAAAGUUAGUUGUAAUCAAAAUGGUUAGAAUCAUUAAGAAGCAACAAAUGUUUAGAGGUCAGUGGCUUUCAGUUUCAGUGAAUGGUCAUAUUGACCCUCCAUAGGUGGUCUGAGAAUGUGUAUAUCCUCACAACAUAGUCGCUCCCGUAGUAUUUGUAUUUAUUAUGGAUCCCCGCUACCUGCUGCCAAAGCAGCAGCUACUCUUCCUGGGGUCCAGCAAAAAUUAAGGCAGUUUAUACAAUUUUAAAAACAUUACAAUACAUUCACAGAUUUCACAACACACUGUGUGCCCUCAGGCCCCUACUCCACCACUACCACAUAUCUACAGUACUAUGUCCAUGUGUAUGUAUAGUGCGUAUGUUAUCGUAUGUGUGUGUGUGUAUAUGCAUGUGUCUGUGCCAAUGUUUGUGUUGCUUCACAGUCCCCGCUGUUUAAUAAGGUGUAUUUUUAUUUGUUUUUUAAAUCUAAUUUUACUGCUUGCUUCAGUUACUUGAUGUGGAAUAGAGUUCCAUGUAGUCAUGGCUCUAUGUAGUACUGUGUGCCUCCCAUAGUCUGUUCUGGACUUGGCGACUGUGAAGAGACCACUUGUGGCAUGUCUUGUGUGGUAUUGCACAAAACAGUAGGUACACACAAAACAAGGGUUGUUUGGGAAGGGUGAUGGCUCUAUGUGGAACCAUGCUGACCCAAAGAACCCUUGGAGCCCUUCAAUGCUUAUUUGCAGUUCAGAAAAGGGUUCUUUCCUCUUUUAGUGAUCAUUUAAAUGUAGGGGUGGUGGCUCAUUAGAAUCAUUUGUGGCAUGGUUUAGACACAACUUUUUUUGUGCAACCGUGAGUGAGAGAGUCAUUCCAGUUGAGUUAAUCUGUUGUGUUAUGCUAAAUCAUGUUAUAUAUGACUAUCUCUAGUGAAGGUGUAUUGUGAAAGACCCAAGCAUGGCUUCGGGUCAGUUGUGAAUGGUUUACUAACUUAGUCAGUAGUUCUCAAUUCUCUCCUCAGGGACCCCCUGCUAUUUACACAUGAUUCAACUUGUUAAUAAACAACAAUAAAACCUAUAGAAUUUGAACAAUAUAAUAUGGUUAUGAAAACAGAAUUAAACAGCCUGUAUGGUUCUACAAAGAACCAUUAAAAAGGGUUGUAACCAUAGCAGACCCCUAUUUUUUUGGUGCUAUAUAGAACCUUUUUUUAAUGGCUCUUUAGAGAAGCUUAUUAAAUGGUUCUUUAUAGCACCAUUCAGCUUCCAUUUAGAACCCGAUGAGCAUGGUUCCUUAUAGAACAAAUAAAAAUAUAGUUACAAGCAAAGUAACCUUUAUUUGGCACUCUAUAGAACCAUUUGUUUUUAGUGUGUACUAGGGAAGCUUCAACAACCACACCACGUACUGUAACCACUCCUAUGGUGGAGCAAUCAUAUUGUUGGAGUUUUGUUUAAAUGCACCAAGAGAAGACCAGUAGUGACCCUUAUAAAUAAGAGUUGUCCACGCUUUGUGUCUUUGUCUCCAUGUUUUCCUCCCAGUGUCUCCAAUGGGUGUGUCUCCUGGUUCUUUGUUGUUUGAGUUGUACUCCAUGUCCAUGUUGUCAUGCCUCAAAGACUGAAGGCAGGCACUUUCAACUUUCCAGUGAUAUUUAUAUGGAAUAUUGGCAAGGUAUAUUUUGAAUGCUUUCAUUUUUCAUGGUUUGAUGUUACAUUAUAGAGACUGAGAGCCAAAGUGGCAUUGCAUUGUUCCUGCCCAAGGGCCUUUUCUGCCCUGUGUUUUACAGAAUCAUUUAUUUGAUUUUCAAAUAGUUAGAUAGUAUGUCUGAGUCCAAAAUGGCAGGGUAUGAUGACAACACUUUGUCCCUCAAUGUGGUGCAGUGUAAUCUUUAGUGUGUGCUUUGAAUAACUGUUUUGUUAAAAUAGUGCCAUUUAAUUAAAAAGGUUUGAUCAGGUAUUAACAAUAUUCCUCUGACAGAGCAAAGAUGUGUAUCUUUAACAACAAAAAAUUGUGUCUCAAAAUUCAUUGGACCAAUGAAUGAUAUAUGACAAAAUGUAAGACAUAUUCAGUGCGUAUCAUAAGUACGUAUUCACCCGUUGGAUUUCAUCCCAUUUUGUUGAGUUACAAAGUGGGAUUGAAAUUCCAGAAUAUUUCAUUGUGAUUUGUCAUUGAUCUACACAUAAUACUCCAUUAAGUCAAAGUGAAAAGAAAAUUCAACACAUUUUCACAAAUUAAAUGACUAAAAUAUU